rnacentral:lncRNA from 1 species
AGUACAUGAGGUACACUAAUCUAUAUAACUUUUAUACAAAUAAAGUCAUUUAUAUAAUUAUACACACCGUCUACACAUGCCCGCUGCUGUGUGCACACACCUUUCAAAACAGCAUUUCCUACUGGAGCCAAAAGCUGGAUGGAGACAGGGCAGGGGGGCUCUCCGGCAUCUGAUAUUACAUUCUCCCAAGGCGAGUACAUUCGCAUGUGACUGCCNNNNNNNNNNNNNNNNNNNNNNNNNNNNNNNNNNNNNNNNNNNNNNNNNNNNNNNNNNNNNNNNNNNNNNNNNNNNNNNNNNNNNNNNNNNNNNNNNNNNNNNNNNNCUCAGCCCGGGCUGAGGCAGCCACCCCCCUCCCGCUGGCACAGGCAGAGCCUACGCCUGACCCGCAGCGACUCCAUCACGGAGGCAGACGCACAGACUCAGGAAAAAGCAGUCAAAUGAGCAGAAUGACUUCUGUACUCGAAACACCCGACUCGUAGGGAAAACUAACAGAUCAGGAGUCAUUUCUUUGGGGGUAUUGGGAACGGCUUUGGCACAGGGCAGGAAAUUGAGCUGCAGAAUAAAUUCAGGGUCACGGUGAAAGCGCUGGACGGCCCGUGUACCCCAACAGAAAAACGGACCUUGGAAGAGACGGGGUCUGUACACGGACCCAAGGGUACACGGUAUCCAGCUGGGAAAUCGUGCACGCGUGUCAUGAGGUGGGGAACUCUGUCCCCCAGGACCUCCGGACGGGGCUGUAUUUGGAGACCAGGUCCUUUUUUUUGUCUUCUGCCUCGGCAUGUGUGCAGUCACAGCCUUAGUUUUGAUGUGGCCAAUAGGGAUGUUCACUGCAUGUAAAGUACCAGGGCUCCAGGGCAUGCUUCAUUAACCCUUCCAAGGAGUCGAGGUGUUGGGGUUUCUUCUGUUUUUUGGCUGCACCUGCAGAAUGCAGAAGCUCCCAGGCCAGGGACUGAAUCCACGCCACCAGAGCGACCCGAGGCAUUGCAGAGACAACGCCAGAUCCUUAACCAGCCGCACCACUAGGGAACUCCCAAAGUCGUUUGAAUGCUCACUGAAAUAGCCUGAACCAGAUUUUGUGUAACUAUGGCCAUGCUUUGGGUCACAGGCCCUGGAAAAUCUGGCCAAAUCAUUGGAUUUCGCAUGUACCCAUGCUUGACCCAGAGAUGACCUGGGAGAAGGGCUCUUUAAAGAGGGGUCCUGGGAAGAAGAGGUCAGGACAGACACGCACGGAGGGACGGCCCUGUGAGGACACAGCGGGGAGAUGGCCGUCGACUCAUCCAGGAGAGAGAGGCCUUGGGAGGGACCUGCCCUGCCUGGCCCUGGGGCUCAGACUCGAGCCUCCAGAACCGGGAAAUUAAUAUCUGUUUAAAGCCUCGAUCUGCAGUACGUUUAACUCAGCCCAAGCAGACGAAUUAAUACAUCACGGUUUGACAGACACACACCUGUUUUUGGCCGUGCCCAUGGCAUAUGGAAGUUCCUGGGCCAGGGACAGACCCUGAGCCACAGAAGUGACAGUACCAGGUCCUUAACCCACUGAGCCACCAGGACACUCCUCAAGGAAACACUUUUAUAAAUUACAGCAAUCAGAAUGUCUGUAGGUCCCAAUUAGCAAUUUGUGGGAUAGAGCAGCAAAUCUCCUGUUAGGGUCAAUUAAAAAAUGCUAUUUAUGUUUGAAAAAUGGAAUUAUGGAAUUAAACGAAAAAGAAAAAAUAAGGGAGUUUCCUGGUGGCCUUGCCUAGAUUCCACCUUGUCACGCCCGUGGUUCAGGUGCAAUCCCUGGUCUGAGAACUUAUGUAGGCUGGGGGCACAGCCAGUUUAAAAAAAAAAAAAAAAGGCAACACAAGACAUAAUACAUUUGGACAAGAACAUGGCCUGCAAGCAAGACCAUGCGAAGGUCGCAGUUCCCUGAUUCCUAUUUGAAUUGAAAAGCAUUUGUAUCUUUUGGCCCCAAAGUGUCAAUACGAAUACUCGCAGCUGGCACUGUUGCCCACCAAAUGCCACACAGCCCUCAGUGGGUGAGCAGGAGGCAAAGCCAUCUCUGACCGGUAACCAAAAGGGGAGAAUAAGCACCGACUGUGUACCACAGCCACACUGGCACCUGUAACCUACUGUAUACACCAGCCCAGACGCCCCUUCCUGAAACCGUGGGAAUUCCAGCUGAGACAGGCUGGUACCAGGAAGGAUCUGGCUCCUGGAGCAACAGAUACAAAGAAACUCUAAGGGACUAAAAAUAACACUGCUACAAAGUAUAAACAGUAAGAUACAAAAAGACCAAAAUCCAACUAUCACUUCUGAGAUGCUAAGAGUCCAAGCAGGGUCUCCUGCCUGAUCCCUGCACAGGGCUCCGCCAAGGGGGUGGGCAGCCCACCCAGCCACCCCUCCGGCCCCACCCACCCUCACCCCACCUAAGGGAUGGGCCCACCUCCUUGGGAAGCCAGCCAGGGCCCCUGGUACUUGUUCCCUGCUGCAGCCGGAGCCUCAGCGAAGCCUGGCCUGAUUCCCCCCUCUGACCCCAUCCAUUUCUACAGGUUGAAGAAUCCAGGCACCCAGGCCGGUAACAGAGUGACCUGCUUGCCUGCGGGCACAGCUGAAGGCCAGGACCGUUGUCAGCUGCCUCUGUGCAGCUAAAGUUGUCACAAAAUCAUGAAUCAGAAUCUUGAGGAAAAACGCCCAGAAAAUGCUCCUUUCCUUUCCGUGGGCUGUAUUUUAGUAACCAAUUCCUCGUAACAACCUUUUCUUCCUCAGCAGAAACCACAUUAAAUUUACUUGCCAGAAACAGAGUCACACACACAAUUUUCUAAGACUCAUGAGACUGUGAAAUCCCUGCCAUGAGCCCACCGUUACAGAAUGAAAUCAUCUUGCGUUUUCUUAAAUUUUUAUCAGAUGAGAGCUGAUGGACACUGUUGUGCCAAUUUCUGCUGUACGGCAAAGUGACCCAGGCAUACACACAUAUACCUUCUUUUUCUCUUAUCAUCUUCCAUCCUGGUCUAUCCCAAGAGACUGGACAGAGUCCCCUGUGUGGGACAGCAGGACCUCUUUGCUCAUCCAUUCUCAAUGUCCUAGUUGGCAUCUCCUGACCCCACACCUGAAGAGUAAAUUCAGAGAAAUGAAAAAAUGCAGAAAUAAAAACAGUCAAGAAAGAAUAACAACAGUUGUCCAUUCAACAAAGUCAAGUCCCUUUAUUCUUCCUCCAGGAGAAUAUUCUGAGCUGUGUCCUUGAGCUGUUUGCAGGUGCUAAAGCCCCCGCCAGGUGGAAGAAGUGAGCUGUGUGCUGCCCACCACCAGGGAGGCCCCAGACAGGCUGGAGCCAGAAGGUGGAUGACGCUGACUCCCAGUGACCUCACCGCCCACCAGCCCGAAGAGUGUCCCCAAGCUGAUCACACCCCGAGACCCUCCCCCUCGCUCUGUCUUUAACAACCUUCCCCUGAAGGCAAAGUGACCGAGCUAAAAUGUCAUCAUUUCCCCUAAAGCUGAGACUCUAAAUACACAGGAUCCCAUUAUCCCAAUGCUGAAAAUCAACUAUUCUUCACUAAAAUUUAAAAAAUUGAAAAAAGACAUAGGAUUCCAGUCUUUAGAAGACACAUCUUCACAUCCAGACAGUAUUUAGUCUGGAUUCCCCACCUCGCUUUGACAACUGUCCGACUCAUUAAGAAUUCAAAAAUGCUAAGGUCCCGCUGCACAACACAGGGAACUAUAUCCACUUUCCCCGAUAAACCUGAAAAGAAUAUACAUAAGAACACGUAGGCUCUCCCGUCGUGGCUCAGCGGAAAUGAACCUAACUAGUAUCCGUGAGAAUGCGGCUUUGAUCCCUGCCCUCCCUAGUGGGUUAAGGAUCCGACAUUGCCGUGAGCUGUGGUGGAGGUUGCAAAGGCGGCUCAGAACCCCUGUGGCUGCGGCUGCGGUGUAGGCCUGCAGCUGUGGCUCUCAUUCGACCCCUAGCCUGGGAGCCUCCAUAUACCACUGGCAUGGCCCUAAAAGAC